CCAAAGGAGGACGUGAGGGCUGGCAAUUAAAAGUGAUUUAUAAAACCCCCAGGAGGGGAAAAGAGGGUCAUCGGGAAGAACGAUCUUUGGCGAUCCAUUUAUAAGCCCAGCUAGCAGACAAGAACUCUGGUUCACCCUUGACAGUGAGCGAGAGCCAGUAUCUGUUUCAGGGAGGGCUUGUCGCUCAGGCUCACUUCAGUCAGAGCCUCUGCGGAUGACCCUCCUGUUCGACCUUCUGUGUUCAGGGCGUCGGACUCCUUCCCCGGUGGCUUGAUGUCCUAGGAUGUCCUCUGCCAGUGCAUCUGGGAAGGGGAGGCUUUUUCCUUCUCCCAAGUCAGGGGGUCAGUGAGUAUCCUAUUACCCCUCUUACAAGCUUGCUCUCCUACAAAAUGCAAGCGCUUCCGUACGUAGUUCUGUCCAUUUUUUUAAAGAGGUGCCAGGCUCAUAUUUGCGACUAGCCUCUCCCUCUUCUUUUCUCUUCCUUUUUUUGCCUUCCCCUUCCCUCCUCUUCCUCUCUUCCUACCAGUGCAAUUUAGAGACUGGAAAUCAAGGAGGAAAUGGAAGCUUGCCCUUAACACCUGCAGCGGGACAACCCAGUGAUCGUGCUGAUACUUUCUGGUGACAGAAUCUAGUGUGGGAGCCCACUCGUGGUGGGGGAGCCCAGGGACGAGUUGGUCUGGGCGGGAGAUCACUGAUUUGUGGGGCUUUCCCCCAGCCUCACCAACACCCGGAGGCCCGUGAGCUGCAGCAGUGCAUGUCUCGACCCCGGAGAGGGCCAGAGCGAGAGGGUGGCCCCACGGUCAUUGUCACCCGAGCAACUUGCUUUGAUAGAUGCCUUCAUUCUUUCAGUCUGCCCGGAUACCAAGGGGCUUGAAUUAAUAAUUGACUAAAAUUCAUAGGCCAGUAAUUGUCUACAUGAAAUGUGGUCUGGUCUUCAUUGUAACUUGACGGUUCUUGUUCUCCUGCUGGAUUUUUUUGUUGUUGUUGGUUCUGAGGAAAUAUUAGAAGGAUGUGGAUGGGUGUGCCCUAAGUGAUUUGUGGUUUAGCUGUCUCCUUUUAAGUGAAAAUACCCGGCAAACAAAAGGCCCAGCCUGUAGGUCCAGAAAACGAUUUGCAGAAGUCCAGGGUCUGGUAAUGGGAUUUAGCGGGUACAGGAAUAAGACAGGCUAAAGGUUGGUUGAGAAUAAAGUUAAUAUUCACUACUGUAUUUAUAUUUAUUUAUGUAUUUGUUUUGUUAAUAUUUUUUAAGCGUUUAUUUAUUUUUGAGAGAGAGAGAGGGACAGAGUGUGAGCAGGGCAGGGGCAAUGAGAGAGGGAGACAGAGAAUCUGAAGCAGGCUCCAGGCUCUGAGCUGUUAGCAUAGAACCUAACAUGGGGCUCGAACCCAGGAACUACGAGAUCAUGACCCGAGCUGAAGUCGGAUGCCCAACCGACUGAGCCACCCGGGUGCCCCAAGAGUGUAAUUUUGGAAGGAGAGUUGUGAUUGUCUGAUUCUGGCUUAGUUGGGCCCCCCGUGGCUUACAGCUGGGGUCUGCCAGGGGCACUUCUCCUUAAAGGGGUCAUAUCGAAUGGGGGCACCAUGAGAGGAGAAGAACCAGAUCCAUGUGGGCAUCCCAAACCACGCUGCAAGGGAAACUGGGGGAGGCCUGUGAUUGGUUCUUGGUGAAGAGAGCUGAAGGGCCAUUGGGCUGUUUGGGGGCACAUGCCCAAGCCAGGACACCAAGUGGUGCUGCCUCAGCAUGAGGGACCCCCUCCAGCAGAUCUCUUCGAGGGGAUGGAGUUUUGAUGACCACCUCAUUUGUAAGCAUCAGAGAGAAGCCUUGUCCAACCACGAGACUUGAUGGUUUUCAAAUGGACAAACCUGAUUUUAAUAAGUUUAAGUGAAAUCUGAUAAGUAGAUCAAGACGAAUCAAGCUCCUGUGUAGUUCUAAAGAGCUGCCUGGACCUAUAGCAGUGGGGUGUCAACUCUCCCUCCGCCUCAGAGACUCGUCCGGUUUGAUACAUCCUUGCAGUCUUGACCCGCCUGUGGCCUGUCUGCUAAGGCAUUUCCUCCUGCCUCUGUUUCAACGUGUCUGCUUCCCUCUCAAGGAGGCGUUUUCUUGCUGGGAGCAGAUGAUUACCUAUUCAUAACAUUUGUUGGAAUUGGUACAGACAGAAUUCAGUACAUUUCUCUCUUUUGACUUUACCAUCAAAAGCCAGAGAUGGGGAGGGCAUCUGAACUGACCCAAGUUUUGGGAGAACAGUGUGGCAGCUCUUCCUUCCUGGCUGACACUGUGGAGGGAAAUCCAAGCAGACUCCAAGAAAUCCAACAAGCAGGGUAGAAUUAAAAACCCCGUCGUUGCAAGUUUCUGAUCUGGGGCCAGAAUACAGGCCAUUGAAACUGUGUGGGCAAAUGCUCCUGCUUUUGCUUCCUGCAAGAGACACGGAGGGGCAGGGCUGGUGCCCUGGCAAGGGCCAGGGCCAGUAGCUUAAGAACAACUCUGAAAGUGGUGUAGAUGUUUUCUUAAGUCUACAAGAAAAAGAAGGGGCAGGAGGAAAAGUACCUUGAGAUUAGCUGUUUACCUUCCCCCAACCUGUUGAAAACAGGAAGGCAGAAUUGCACAGUAGGAGAUGUAAUGCCGAGUCACAAAACCGUUCCUCACGUUGACCCAUCGCUUAUCCUAAAGUCAAAGGCACAGACGCCUCCCCCCCCCCACCCCGCCCCAGGGUGGACAACCAGAUUUCACUUUACUGUGUAUGGCACUGUGGUUCUUGGAGGUUGCUGGAACGGCUGCAAGAUACCUGGGUCUGCUUCUGCUAUCUGAAAGCAACACACCGUGCUUGCUUAUUAGCUACCUUUCUUGAUUAUUAAUGACACCAUUUGGACAGAGACUCCCAGGAAGGUUCUGCUGACUUCAGCUGGCUUGGCCUGUCUGCCAGCGCAUGGACCAUAUCCAUCCCAUCUGAAGACUCUCACUAUUGGAGUCACCUUUGAGGUUGACGUUUUGAGCUAGGCUUUCCAGCUGGGUCCCAAGCCCCGGGCUUGGCCAGCCAGUGAGUAGGACCACAGAAAUGGGGAUGCGGCCCCAGAAGGGGAUCCGACCCCAGCCCUGGGACAUGAGAAUGAAAUGGAGGGGCUGUGCGCCUUGCACGCACGUGUGCGUGCAUGCGUGCCUGUGUGUGUGUGUGUGUGUGUGUGUGUGUGUGUGUUUGUGUUAGGAUGGAUUGGACAAGGCAGGGAGAGGAAACAAAGGAAAGAUAAAUGGUGAAGAAGAACUUGGAAAAAAUUGAACUAGAUUUAUUCUGACAGUGUGUGGGCCUACAGCUGUAACAUUAUAAAUCACUUCCCUACGGAGGAAUUCACUUCCUGAGCCUUGCACAGCUUCAUGAGCCUGGCAUGCGUAUGAGAACAGAACCUAGCAAUCUGAGAAGGGAAAAUGACGGCUUGCACAACUGUGGCUUGAAACCACAACUGGUGAUUUGGUCAGCACAAGGGGCUCCUGGGACUCGGGCCCGGCGUGGCAGGGAGCUGAGACCGCUGAGGCAUUCACUCCCAGUACUUCCAGGAUGGGAUCUUAAAGAGCAGACUGAAAAAAGUGUUUUGUGGUGGCCACAUGGCCCUGAACUCUGGAUUAAAAAUGAAAUUAAAGGGAAUUUGGGAUCUGAGGAUGAGCCCAGGAUUGGAGCAUCCACAGAAGGUCUUUGUUCAGGUGAUCCUUUUCUAGAAAUGGGAUGUCCCGACUGACCAGCACAGACCCGGGUUCUCUCUCCGAUCCUGUCUGCAAGAAUAUCCACAGCUCUAACGUGUUGGUGGGUACGUACCAUGAGCUCAGAAAUUGUGGUUGAUUUAAUAAAUGAAAAAUCAAAUCCUGGUACAACUGGGAAUUGCUCUGGUCCCCUGGGUCAACAUGACAUGAAGUCUUUCCCAGUUUUGUUCUGUAUUUUUUUAAUGAUAUUUACCUGCUAUCGUAGCUCUCUUGCACUAUAUGUAGCUUUCCACGAGUGCAGCGUUUGUGACUUCUCAGCCUGUGGAGAGCAUAGUUCCAUGCCUUGUGUGUGCCUGGCCCAGAUCCAUGUUAAACUGACUUGAGUUUAUACGUAAGUGACCAUUCAUUAGGGAGUAACAUUUCCUUGUCCAGACAAAUGAAGGAAGAGGCUCUGACACUUGCCUGUGAUGUAUAAUUGCACCUGACUCAUUAACUGGACAUUGCAAUGCUGGGGAGACUGAAGCAAGGUUCAGCUACUUGUAAUGAGAAUGGAUCCACUAAGCCCUGUGAGAACGGCAGGUCUGUGGGCCACAGGGGGUCCACUUUGUGCUACUCAACACUCAGCUCGGGAAGCAUCUAUCUACCUGCCUCCCAGUGUACCAUUGCUCAGAUGGUCAGGUGCAUUCGGGGAAUUUUCACCUCCCCUGCCAGCACUGUAAUGGCAGGUGCAGAGCAGACCUGGUCAGUUCCUCCAUUUGGGUCCUGGGUCGAUGCUGACUGUCCUUCAGAAGGUCUGUACAGCUUUGCUGCCUGAGGACACCCUGUGUGCAGUGCCCUUUUCCCUAGGUGUACGUGGAAAGGAGGUUGUACAAAGACCCAGAGAGUAGAGGCUCUGAUUUGUGGUGUUCUCAAGGGCAAGCCUGCACCUUGACAGCUUCCAGGUGUUGAGAAUCAAGUUCUUCGGAGUCACCAUCUCUUGUCCUUUUCAACUAUGCAAGCCACAAUCCUGCCAUCUGGCCUUGGGGCAGAAUCGAAAGAGAACUCUGCCUGAAGACCCAAGGCAGACUACGACUCACAUUUAUAUUAAAUGAUGAAGAAACAGAAGUGCUAAGAAAGUUAGUGAUUUGUCCAGGGAACCACAGAAGUAAAGCGAGGGUUGUAAUUCAAGCCUUCCAACUGAAGUUCGGUGAGCUUUUAUUUUUUCCCUUCCCACUGCUGAUUUUAUCGUGGAGACGGUAUGAAAACAGCGAAGGCUGCUUUGAGAAGAAUCGCCCAUCACUGCAUUAGUAUAACUGUUGCCCGUUUCCUCCCUGAUCUGUCCUCAGUGCAUUUUCUUUGUCACAUGGCUUUAAUCCCAGUGUCCUUGCACUGUCCCCACUUACCUGCAAGGCUCCCUAGGCUAGUAAAUUCUGUUGACUUUGGUAUUUCUGGUACAAAUAGCAAACCACCAGAGUCUGUGAGUCAGGAAUUCCCUUAUUGUGAUACCAGUGGACAUUUAGAAAGACAAAGGCAGCCGUUUGCUCAAGAUCUAAAAAUCACUUUGACACUGUGUAACAGAAACCGCUGGGACGAGCACUAAACUCCCAAAACUACAUUUUGAAGUCAAUGCCAUGCUUUUGCUGGGGUGAAUGGAUGGGUGACUGUGCAGUGGGUGCAUUACAGCAUAUCUCUGUUAACGGGCUUUUCUUUGGAUAGAGUAACGGAGGUGAAAACUUCACAGCUCCAUACUGAGUGUUUUAGUUAUAAAUGCUCUUUAGUUAUAAAUGCUCUUUAGUUAUAUAGUUAGGUGGAGCAGAUGGCUAUGGAGACACAGGCCUGAAGUCACAUGAUAAAUCAAUCAAGGGCCCAGAGAACAAAGCCCACUUUUCCUGAUCCCAGAGGCACUGUGUUAGGUCAGGUGCAUGGUGCUGCUUUCCAGAUGACUGCACAGUCCGUGUGGGCCCCUCAGUGAGCAUGUCCCUCUCCUGGAUGGUGAACGAGACAGGAGCGAUGACCCACAACAAACAGAUGGAGUAUUUGGGGAGCACGUCCAGUAGGAACAGCUCUCUUGGCUCCCAGCUUGGGACUUCAGGUCACAGUGACAACUGCGUGUGGAGGGAAAGGCGACCACACCCUGCUCUCCCAUCCCUCGGACAAAAUUCCAGCUCGCGUUGCCCACCUCCCGGACGAUCUGUCAACGGCCUUUCGGGAACCUGAAUGACCAUAGCGUCAGAGAGAAGAGCUUUGUGUUGGGACUGGAGGCGCAUCAGAGAGUCUGGGACUCCUGUACCACUUAUGCCGGAGAGGAUGCGAUUAAUGCCAUAAGAAAAUGCCUCAGAUCCAACGAUGUUGACAAACUAAUUCCUUAAAAAAUAAUGGUUUCUUCUUUGGGACAUAAGACAUCUUAGAUGCAGUGUCGAGUAGUAUUUUGGAUCUUUAUUUUUGUUUGUAAACUCUUCUUCCACAUAUGGUUUUCGGUCUACUUACAAAGAUCUUAACGAUGCAGAAGAAAAAGCAGUUGUGAGAGUUAGAGGGGACGUAAAACAAAGGGUCAAAUCAGCGAUGCGGAAACCAGGAGAGGGCAAAUGCCUGCCUACUUACCGACGGACGAGCACAGAGCAGCAGCCAUCAGUGGGCACGUGACUCGCAAGGCGGAGGUCUCCUCGGCUCUGUUGGUGAGAUUGUUGGACACCCGCCUACAUUUGCCUACGGAGUUUUUUCAGAAAGGACAGAAAUACUCCCACCUGUACCCUCACUGCUGUGAGUUGCCUCCAUUUCUCUUGAGUGCUCCCCUAUCCAUGGUCUCUUUUUCUUCCGUCAUACGUACUCCUGAUUGAGACCCACCGUGCUGUGGCUUCAAGCAAAGGGUCAUCAAUCUGAGACUCUUGCUUUGCCAUCUUUCCGGAGCUCUAGACUCCAAUUUCGAACCUGUUGCAGAUGCUUCCAGUUCUAGGCCCCACAGACACAUCCCGGGCAGAAUUGGGUUGUGUUGCCGCAUCUGUAUUUUCUAAGUUGGCGAAUGACAUCUUCUGUCUAGAAUGUUCCCCUCCCCUUCUUUCCCAGUUUGGAGAGUUACUAUUGACCUUUCCAGUCCUUCUCAAAGGUCACCAUCUCUCUGUCGCCCUCACCAAGUCAUCAGGAUGGAAUAGUCGUUCUCCCUUCGGUGUCCCUGGGUCCCCUGACCCCUCUUGUCAUUGUGCCAUGUGCUGCCGUGAUCCUUUGUUUUUCUGUUUAUGUCUUAUUCUAGAGCUUGCCUCCACUAAAUACAUAUGCCAGGAUCCAGCGCAGAGUUUAGUACAUAGGAAGCAGUCCCUAACUGCUUGCUGGUGAAUGCAGGAGUGGGUAAGGCGAACUCUUUUCCUGCAGCAGGAAAACAGUCACUGUUACGAAGCGGGAAGAGGCAAGCGCUCAGCUCAGGGGAGCAGAGCAGCACUGUGACUUCUCACGCUGUGGGGACAGGAAGGUCUGUGGGAGAAAGAUACAAAGAACUCCUACAGAGGUGAUAGUACGAAAAGCAAAGCAUGGUCUGGGUUUUGGUUUCUAAUCUCCGGGAAGAGCUACAGAAAACUGAAACUGUGCUCCAAAACUUAGCAGUCAACGUCAUCCACCCCUACUGGGAUAAAAGUUUGCCUGGGGCUGACUUGAUGCGUGGCUGUCUUCACCUCUGAAACAUCCCAGAAGCACUCGAAGCUGGUUGUGUCCUGGAAGAUGGCUCAAAGCAAGAUCUCCUUCAGCCUGGGAAACACUAGGGCUCGAUUAAGUUAAGCUUCGAUAGACAGGUUACAACUGUAAAGGAAAAACUGAGAACUUUAUAUGAGUGAUUAAAUAUUAAAAAAAAUUUUUUUUUAAUGUUUAUUUAUUUUUGGGACGGAGACAGAGCACGAGUGGGGGAGGGGCAGAGAGAGGGAGACACAGAAUCCGAAGGAGGCUCCAGACUCCGAGCUGUCAGAACAGAGCCUGGCGCGGGGUUCGAACUCAUGAACCGUGAGAUCGUGACCUGAGCAGAAGUCCUUCCCUCAACCAACUGAGUCACCCAGACGCCCCAAUGCGUGAUUAAAUAUUUCUGUUCCUCUAAAGCUUGCCCCCUGUUAUGUGAAUACACUACAGUUAAAUGUUCACUGCACUAAUGGAGAGAUUGUGGUCAAUAGUGAAACACAUCCCUAAAAAAAACAAAAACAAAAACAAAACACAAUUGAAAGCCUGAUUCAUCUUUAAAAUACUAAAGGUGGCUCAGGGUGUCUGGGUGGCUCAGUCGGUUAAGUGUCCGACUUCAGCUCAGGUCAUGAUUUCAUGGUUCGUGAGUUCAAGCCCCGCAUCAGGCUCUGUGCUGACAGCUCAGAGCCUGAAGCCUGCUUCAGAUUCUGUGUCUCCCUCUCCAUCACUCUCUGUGUCUCAAAAAUAAAUAGAUGUUAAAAAAUUAAAAAAAAAUACUAAAGAUAGUUUAAAAUAAAGUGUCUUAAAAUAUUUAUGAUGUAUUUUUAGACUUUUUGGUGGGCAAAGACCCAAAGAGAAGCAAAUAAAACCAUUAAGGCUUUUCCAGGGUGGACAAAAGUGGAAAAGGGGGAUUUUAUCCAGUGGAUAAAAUCAUGAAAAGCUUGAACUGAGCUAAUGCUCGAUCUGGCAGCCAGAAUGUAAUUUCAGGGCUCAUAAGAUGUUUAAACAUACUGAGUAGAACAGUAUUUUAUAGGCUGUAAUAUGACAAAUACAUAGAGGCAGGCUAAAUAAGGGAUGCUAAGUUGUGGGUAGGUGACAUUAGUGAAUUUCAUGACAGAUGACAGAAUACUGGGUUGGGUGAACCACUGGUUCUGUAAGAGUUCUUUCUACUGGUUUCAUAAGAGUGAAUGCAGUUCACUCACCUGCCUGUAUCACCCCAGAGAGAGAGACACAGGUAUUGAAAUAUUUUCUUGGAGAUAAAAAAAACAACCACCACCACCAAUGUUUGGUCAUCUUUAUAAACACAGGCUCUCAUUUUAAAUCUGAGACUCUCUUGAAGGUGAGAAGCAUGGGAUUAAGUAGGGACCCCUGUUCUAACAUCAUUUGCUCUAUUGAAUAUAUCCUUAUUAGGUGCACAUAUCCUUAGGGGCACACCCUACCAUUUUAGUGCGAAUUUUCAGGAAUCCUGUCGGGGAGAGCUGGUGCUUGAGGGAAGAAAGAAGCGUGCUGGAAAAAGACAGAAGGAGGACAGAGACUACACCUGUUGUUCUGGACUGCAGCUGGAAUUGGAAAGGAAAUUUAUUUCCAUGAAUGGCGAAGUGUCAGAGUGAGCAGGCACGUGGCAGAGGAAGCAUGGGAAUAGUCUCACGAGAAUAACGUCAAAUCACAAUGAUUGUCAGAGACUUUAGAAGAUAAACCAACCAAACAAACAUAUAGAAGUUACAUGUGCUGUUAGUGCAGAAGCUUCCAGAUGGAUGCAAGAAUCAAAGCCUUCAAGAAGCUCAUGUUAUUUCCUACAAAUAAUUUGGAGGACACUGAGACAGAUGUGCAACACAGCAGUGUGGGGUGGGAGAUCUGGGUCCUGUUCCAGCUUUGCCUCCUGUCAAAUGUCUCACCCUGGGUAAGUCAUUUAUUCUCUAGGUGUUUCAGUUUGGUCAUCUUUAAGAUGGGAUAAUUAUAUCCACUUCUGUUGAACAGAGUCGGAGUGAGGACAUAUGUAUUUUGGUGUGUUCACGUAUAUAAGGCUGGAGAGAAAGUGGUUAAGAGGAAGCCUUUGGCCAGUGGCCUGGGCAGUUCAGUUGGCAUCUUCAGGUAUAAAUGGAGUUACUUGAAGGUCUUCCAAGUGUUUCCCUCCACAAACACUAACCUUUCCACCUUUAGAUUCUUUUUUCAGGAUCCCAUAGGAAAUUUGUGUAUUUCAUGGGUUGUUGACCCAAUGGAGUAAGAUUUCUAUUUCAAUUUAUCUCUGUUCCACUUAUGCUAAAACUCAAGUUUAGAUUGCUACUAGCUUAGAUUCAGUUAGAAUCUGUAAGUUAGAAUGCCUUUUUGGAACAUAAUGUCACGGGUAGAAGUUUUCAGAUGAGCACAUCUUCUGUGAUUGUACGGCAUAGUCCACAGUUCACUGACCCACAUCAGCACAGAUUUGGUUACCUUUUGAUGCUUCAGGGCAUGUGGCCUUUUAGGAGAGAAAUGAAGCGCUCAAGUGAGAGGUGUAGCAUAAAUAAGUUGUAGUGGAGAGUAGGGUGGGAGGGUGGGGGAGGUUUCUGGAGCACUUAGUAUUCAGUAUCAGGCCUGAAAUGAUCUUUCUCCAUAAAGAGUGUGGGAAACUGGUGAGAAUUGGGCUCUUAGCAUAAGAAUAGGCUGAAACUGACCUGUGGAACUUGGGCUUCAAAGCUUUUUGCAAAAUAUUAUUGUUUGCAUGGCUUGGAGGAGACUCAAGAGUGACUUAGGGAUUUCAUGUGGAUUCCCAAGCAGGAAGCCAGACCUUUCAUUGCUUCCACAAAAUUCCACCAACCUUCCAUCAGGAUCUUUGGCUUAGUGGGACAGAUAGGUGUGUAUUACCACUACCGUUUUAUAGAUACGGAGAAUGAGGAGCCAGAAAGGUUAUGUGACUUGUUGAAAGUCACACAACUAGUGCUUGGCAGGGCUGCACCUGGGAGCCAGUGUUGGGAGAGAAAGUCCUCCAUGGGCCACAAGUGCACCUGUCUAGUGGGCCAAGACUAGUCUUUCUCCCAGGAUGUCUUCAGAGUUGUUCUGAUGCCCUCGAGAAAUGAGAUAAUGUCUCCCUACUCUCAGCACCUAAAAAGCAGACUUGUUUACUCUUGCCUGUGAAAACAGUAGAUUCCCCAAGUAUUCCUGGGCCAUGACACAAGCCCACUUUACCUGUCCUACUGAUCUGGGCCCGGGGUCAUGCCUGUGGACCUUUAGAGCAAGGAAGCUGGUGCCAACAUGUUGAUACUUGUGCCGCUGCUGUGUCAUGAGUAAUAUAGUCCUUUGUUUCUGACCCAGGAGCUCAUGUCUCCUGCCAGCAUCCACAAAUUAGAAUUAGGCUAACUUGUUAGUGUGUAAGUGAGUAAAGUCACAUCUUAGACCUGACAUCUACUUCCUGAGUCCUGGGCAGAUUUCCUUCCAUAAGUGUGCUUUCUGUAGAUAACUCAACCCAGGGGAAGGAACGGUGGUCACAAAAUUCAUCUGGUGAUAUGACUGGAUCUGUGCCAAGUUCCUUCCUUUUGAUUUUCUGGGCCUGGGCUUCUGUUAGCAGGCAUUCAGUAGGUCUUUGUGGUAGGUAGUUGACUGGUUCAUUGGUAGAGAUCCCUAGAAGCCAGCGGAGCCCAGCCAAUGGAAGUGAUAGGGAAAGAGCAAGGAGGAAGAGGGAGGGUGGAAAGGGAGAAGGAGGAUCUUUUGUCAAAGACAUUUAGGGUCCCGUUACCAUUUUCUGUACCUGUCAUACUACGCCAAAAAAUAAAAAAAUAAAAAAAAUAAAAAUAAAAAUAAAUAAAUAAAUAAAUAAAAGUGGGAAAUUUGCUCUGCUGAGGUAGCAGCAUCCUUGAGGAUCUGGGGAAUGGGAAGGGAGGCCAGGACUAGUGACAUGUUGGGGGCAUGGUGUGAGGGAGGAGGGCUGCCUCUCCAAGACCUCACCUGGGGAGAGAUCCCACUGUUUGGACUGGGGUAGAAGAGGGAAGGCAAGGCCAUGGCAAUGUCAUGAUCUCACCCAUAAAAUAUUGAGGUUAAUUUUCACUUUGCUGACUAAUUCUUUGCAAGAAUCCUAAAGAAAUCUUAGUCAGUGAGGAGAACUCUAGCCAGGAGUGAGCUGUUCCAGGCUCUUUAAGCUUGACGAGCCUCCUCACGCACAUGUCCACGGAAAGUGAGGCCAACUCUGCCCAAGACUUAUCAACCACUAAAGAAGCCUGAAAUGAUAGGUGGUUUUCAAAAUAACUUUCCCUUUAUCCGCUGAAGUAGAUAGGCCUCUGUCAUAAAACCUUUAAUUGUUCAUCAAAUAUUUGACUAAAAUUGAGUAGUUUUCUUUCAGGGGAAGUUAGCAUUCUUAAAUCACUAGCAAAGGAGAGGUUUGUAAAAGAUUUACCAAAGCGCUCUUCGUGUGUAUGCAUAAUGGUUAAUGGUCAAUAAAUAGACACUUUUCUUUAUUGCCUAGAGAUUCUGUCUAAUGUUUAAUUUUUAAAAAGUGUACCACUUCCAUGAGGCAUCUAAUGUAAUCAAACUCAUAGAAAUAGAAAGUUACCAGGGGGGUCGAGGGGAGGGAAAUGGUAGGUUUUUAAAUGGGUACAGGGUUUCAAUUUUGCAAGAUGGAAAAUUUCUGGAGCUCUGUUGUCCAACCAUGUGAAUAUACUUACCACUAGUUUAUGUUA